UCUGAUACCACUUAAACUGGAUGUCACGCCCCGAUCCUCGGGCACGUGCACAUCCUUCUAUUUGGUCGAUUUUAUAAUGCGAUAUCCCAGGACUAGUAUCGCCGACCCUUUCAUUUAUUAAGCACAUGCGGAAGCAGUUAAAAUCCCCAGACAAUAAAACGAUGGGAUAGAAAAGCAAGGCCAUAUUUUUCAUAUUGAAAUUUAUAACCAAACUUUUAUACAAAACACAAACCAACUUCAAAACUACUCACAUCAAAACGGAGAUCUCAAAAGAAGACAGAAACUUAAACGAACUGGGCCGCACUGAAGGCCCCUCUCAGAAUUGUCUUCUUCUUCCAAAAAUCCUUCUCCUCAGAUCUCACCUCCGAGUUCUCCUUCUCGGAUUCCUCCUCCACAGCUCUUCAGCGGGGUCCUGAAAUGGUUUUCCCCAAACUGGGAUGAGACUACGUCUCAGCGAGUUCUACCCCACUAAGCCCGAUUAGUAAACUAUUAUACUAAAGGCUGCCUAAACACACACAGGGCAGAGGACUUACCUUGGCCUCAGAUCUCACCUGCAAGUCAGUACAAUUCAUAAUAGGCACCCAAGCAAUCAUAUGACCGAUCGAAGCAUCGAUCAAAUCGACCUAGUCGAUUACAUGCCAAACAAAUCAAUCCCCACUGUGGGAUAUUUAAAAACUAGGCCACGUGUAUUCUCCAGGAUGACCUUCCAAGUCUCCGAGUCACGUGCCUCGAACCUUGGGCCCACGUGCAUUCUCUCAGGCGACCUUUUCGCCAAAGUGAUGCAUCAAGUCACCGAGACCACGUGCCCUUUUAGAUGCCCGGGCCCACGUGCAUUCUCUCAGGUGCAUUUCACCAAAGCGAUGCAUCAAGUCGCCGAGACCACGUCCCCUUUUAGAUGCCAUUCCGGAAUGCUGGACCCACGUGCAUUCUCUAAGGUACUCGCUUACCAAAGUGACGCAUCAGAUCACCGAGCCACGUGUCCUUUUAGAUGCCAAAUCCUGUCACCGAGCCACGUGCAUUCUCCAGGACGACAUACCGAGUCUCCGAGCCACGUGCAUUCUCUCAGGCGACCUUUUCGCCAAGGUGACAUAUUCAACCACUGAACUCACGUGCAUUCUCAAGGUGACAUUCCAAUUCACCAAGCCACGUGUCCUCUUUGCAGUGGUUACCAAUUCUACUUUCAAUACCGACAACCAAUGCCCAACAAUUUCUCAAUCAAAUAAUUAAAUUAACUCAACAAAGCAUUAUAAAUGCUGAAUAAACAUACUUGGCCAUUCACCAAUCGAUAAUUCAAUCUCAAUCGAUUCCAAUCAAUUUAGGGUAAAUCCCUAAAAUAUCACAAUUUAUUCAAUUCCAUACAACGUAGAGCUCAAAUAAAUAAACGGGCUGCGCCACGACGAUCGGCACGAGAUUUCGGUCGUCGGCCAUCAAAAUCUUAAUUUCCGAAAAAUAAAUAAUUAAUUAUUAAUUUCGAAAAUUAAUUAAUUACUAUUAAAAAUUCAAUUUAGCUCAAAAUAAAGCCCGAUUAAAUAAACGGACUUCACCACAGUCAUCAGCACAAUUUUCCGGUUCCGAACCAUCUCCCUUGAAUUUUCAGAAAAUAAAUAAUUAUUUAAUUUAAUUUCGAAAAUUGAUAUUUAAAUACUAAAAAUAUCCACUUAGGCCCGAAAAGCCUAAUUGGAGCCCACUAAGGGUCGGGAAAAUUCCCGAAGCACUUCCAAUAAUUAGUAGACCACGUCUACUUGCUAAUUACACAAUCAAUUUAUCUAAAUCACAUCACAAUUGACUAAUAAUUGCUAAUUUAUUCUAAUCUAACAACCUAAACAUAAUUAAUUAAAUCUAAACCAGCUUAAAGCAUAAUUAGCCACUAAUCCUGGAUUAGUGAGAUUACUCACCAAAUCGCCCGCAAAUCGGAUCAAUCCGACGGCGGCGACGCGAGGAACGAUUGUUCCCAAAGCACGGCUCGGGUUCGGGGCCGGGAAACGGCCCAAAAGCGGGCCCGAAGAUGCUGAAACCCACUCCGUGGGUCUGCUGGACGGAGCCGAUCGGGCCUGCUCCGGCGGCUAGGGCGGCGAGGGAAAGCCGGCGGAGGGCGAGGGGGUUGCGGGGGAGGUCCGGCGGGGUUGGCGGUGGCCGGAGGUGGCCGGAGAUGGGCUGGUCGGUGCGGAACAGCAGCUGGGUCGCGGCUGGAUCGCGUGGCUUGGGCGCGCACGGACGGGUGGCUG
rnacentral:lncRNA from 1 species